AGCAGUUUCGCCUCGUGCUAACAUCGUGUUCUUCUUCUUCCUCUCACGCAGACCCCCCUCCCAAAUCCGCAACACACACACACACACGCACAAUGGCGUCCAAGAGGCUGAAUCGAUCGCUUUGUUUUUUAGGUCGACUUUGAAGAAAGCGACAAUGUAAGGACCAAGACAGGGAACCCACAUCCAUUCGAACUGGACAAAACAGCUCGCUCAAAACGCCACCACGUGGUGUAAACCCGGAACUGCACCACUAGUGGUUUCAAUUGGGAGGUUAUGUAAUCCCGUCAAUGAAAACCCUCUUAUGGUGGUUGGUAUGGAUUUUCACAGUCAGCUGGAGCCUAUCCAAGCAUGGGCAGAACAUGGAAAGUCCACACCAAGUUUUGCACCCAGAUCGCCUGACUGUGACGCACAUGUGGCAACCAGGAUGUCACCAACCUGCAUGAAAUCCACCUUCAUAGUGCUCAGUUUGUGUGUUUUGCAAGAAGAAAUAUUGCCCUCAGACUUGCUUUCGCCCACCCCUCCUUGAAACGCUUCAAAUUCAUAAGAGGCUGCCCGCUGCGACGACUGCUGACAGACAGCCGAAUUCUUUUGUGCUUUGAAUAAAUUUCACAUCUGGUCAUGUUCAAAUCCACUCAUAUGAGCGGGUCCUCUCAUUAAGACUCAGCAGGUUAUAUGAUGGUAUUGCUGGAAUCCCUGGAGCAAAAUGAACAGGGACAGCUACACUGCUUAAUGCAAGGUAGCCUAGCAACAGAUAGCAGGACGACGGUGGAAACAUACCCUCAUAUUUAUGUUUACAUGAGAGAAUGAUUUGUCUGUCAGGCUGAUGGAUCCUAAUGUUCCCCUCUCCCUGGUGCUUUUCUUGUGCCGCACGCGGGCCUGACACUUACCCUGAAGGACAGGCACCACCUUC